rnacentral:tRNA from 1 species
GUCCCUGUAGCGCAAUGGAUAGCGCAUUGGACUUCUCAUCCAAAGGUCGUGGGUUUGAAUCCCACCUGGGUUG